GAUCCUGGCUCAGGAUGAACGCUAGCUACAGGCUUAACACGUGCAAGUCGAGGGGGCAGCAUGAACUUAGCUUGCUAAGUUUGAUGGCGACCGGCGCACGGGUGAGUAACACGUAUCCAACCUGCCGAUGACUCGGGGAUAGCCUUUCGAAAGAAAGAUUAAUACCCGAUGGCAUAGUUCUUCCGCAUGGUAGAACUAUUAAAGAACUUCGGUCAUCGAUGGGGAUGCGUUCCAUUAGGUUG
rnacentral:rRNA from 1 species